ensembl:lncRNA
UCUACAUCGGAGUACAACAUCAGAAGAGCCCAGUACUCUGAUGAAGGUCUCUACUGGUGUGCUACUGAUACGUUUGGAGAAUCUCCUCAGAGCUUUCUGAGGGUCAGAGGGUCUCCUAUAACGUCUCUUAAAACAUCCGUCUCUUCUGAGACCAAUUCUUCCCUUUCCACUUUGCUUCUUCCAAACAAUUCUUCCUCCCCUCCUCCUCCUCCUCUUCCUUCUUCUCCCUCUGUGUCUUGGAUCAGAGUCAUCUGCCACCUGUUGGCCUUCUGCCCGUACUGCAUCUGCACCAUCCUGCUCCUGUCCAUCUGCUGCAGCAGGAGCUCAGGUAACAAACAUGCUGUCUCCAUGGAGACGCCCCUGCGUGACGCGGAGUAUGAUGACAUUGUUGCUGAUGUCACCACUGAGCAUGUCUUCUAAGCUGAUAGAUCCUCUGAGGAAUCUGAAAGUGUCCAAAGCUGUAAACU